GCCGGAGUAGCUCAGAGGCAGAGCAGGGCUUUCGUAAAGCUCAGGCCGUGAGUUCGAGUCUCACCUCCGGCU
rnacentral:tRNA from 1 species